GAUGAACGCUGGCGGCGUGCCUAAUACAUGCAAGUCGUACGGAAAGGCCCUUCGGGGUACUCGAGUGGCGGACGGCUGAGUAACGCGUGGGAACGUGCCCCAAAGUGAGGGAUAACGCACCGCAAGGUGUGCUAAUACCGCAUAUGGUCUUCGGAUUAAAGCUUCGGCGCUUUGGGAGCGGCCCGCGUACGAUUAGAUAGUUGGUGAGGUAAUGGCUCACCAAGUCGACGAUCGUUAGCUGGUCUGAGAGGAUGAUCAGCCAGACUGGGACUGAGACACGGCCCAGACUCCUACGGGAGGCAGCAGUAAGGAAUCUUCCACAAUGGGGGCAACCCUGAUGGAGCAACGCCGCGUGCAGGAUGAAGGUUUUCGGAUCGUAAACUGCUUUUAUAAGUGAAGAAUAUGACGGUAACUUAUGAAUAAGGAUCGGCUAACUACGUGCCAGCAGCCGCAGUAA
rnacentral:rRNA from 1 species